GCAGCGUUACCUGCUGGGGCCAUCUCUAGCUGCCCCCACUGUGACACAAUGCCUGUGAUGUCACAAGAGCCAGAUCACAUCACAGCCAGGACAGCCCCGCCCUUCAUCUCCACUCCAGCUCAUCGAUUUAUAAUGGCCCCAGGCAACCAAAUUGGUGGCACCCACAAAAUACAGACCGAACUGGGAGGUCAACAAACACAUUUCCUCUGGAAGUCAGAGCCGAGGCAGCUGAAGAGUCCAUGGCAAAGAGCCUGGAACCAGAGAUUCCCAUUACAAUCUGUACACUGACUGCACACCCUUUUUGAGGGAGUCCAGCCUGUCUGGGGGCUUCACUCAGUGCAAAAAUGCCAAUAAAUAGUGUAUUUGAGCAAA